rnacentral:rRNA from 1 species
UACGUAGGGGGCAAGCGUUAUCCGGAUUUACUGGGUGUAAAGGGAGCGCAGGCGGCGCGUUAAGCCUGGUGUGAAAGCCCGCGGCCCAACCGCGGGACUGCAUUGGGAACUGGCGCGCUGGAGUGCCGGAGGGGUAGGCGGAAUUCCUAGUGUAGCGGUAAAAUGCGUAGAUAUAUGGAAGAACACCAGUGGCGAAGGCGGCCGCCUGGCCUGUUGCUGACGCUGAGGCACGAAAGCGUGGGGAGCAAAUAGG